rnacentral:misc_RNA from 1 species
AAUGCGAUAAGUAAUGUGAAUUGCAGAAUUCAGUGAAUCAUCGAAUCUUUGAACGCACAUUGCGCCCGCCAGUAUUCUGGCGGGCAUGCCUGUUCGAGCGUCAUUUCAACCAUCAAGCCCCGGGCUUGUGUUGGGGACCUGCGGCUGCCGCAGGCCCUGAAAACCAGUGGCGGGCUCGCUGUCACACCGAGCGUAGUAGAUUCUCAUCUCGCUCAGGGCGUGCUGCGGGUUCCGGCCGUAAAACAGCCUUAUUUUACCCAAGGUUGACCUCGGAUCAGGUAGGAAGACCCGCUGAACUUAAGC